CCUACGGGUGGCAGCAGUGAGGAAUAUUGGUCAAUGGACGAGAGUCUGAACGAGCCAAGUAGCGUGAAGGAUGACUGCCCUCUGGGUUGUAAACUUCUUUUAUAAAGGAAUACAACGAGGCACGUGUGCCUUUUUGCAUGUACUUUAUGCAUAAGGAUCGGGUAACUCCGUGCCAGGGGCCGCGGUAAUACGGAUGAUCCGAGCCUUAUCCGGGUUUAUUGGUUUUAAAGGGAGCGUAGAUGGGUUGUGAAAGCAGUUUGGCAAGUGUGCGGCUCAACCGUAAAAUUGAAAUGGAUACUGGCAGACUGGAGUACAGAUGAGGUAGGCGGAAUUCGUGGUGUAGCGGUGAAAUGCGUAGAUAUAACGAAGAACCCCGAUUGCGAAGGCAGCUUACUAAACUGUGACUGACAUUGAUGCUCGAAAGUGUGGGUAUCAAACAGGAUUAGAUACCCGGGUAGUC
rnacentral:rRNA from 1 species